rnacentral:rRNA from 1 species
AGUGAACGCUGGCGGUAGGCCUAACACAUGCAAGUCGAGCGGCAGCACAGUAAGAGCUUGCUCUUACGGGUGGCGAGUGGCGGACGGGUGAGGAAUACAUCGGAAUCUACUUUUUCGUGGGGGAUAACGUAGGGAAACUUACGCUAAUACCGCAUACGACCUACGGGUGAAAGCAGGGGAUCUUCGGACCUUGCGCGAUUGAAUGAGCCGAUGUCGGAUUAGCUAGUUGGCGGGGUAAAGGCCCACCAAGGCGACGAUCCGUAGCUGGUCUGAGAGGAUGAUCAGCCACACUGGAACUGAGACACGGUCCAGACUCCUACGGGAGGCAGCAGUGGGGAAUAUUGGACAAUGGGCGCAAGCCUGAUCCAGCCAUACCGCGUGGGUGAAGAAGGCCUUCGGGUUGUAAAGCCCUUUUGUUGGGAAAGAAAAGCAGCAGGUUAAUACCCCGCUGGUCCGACGGUACCCAAAGAAUAAGCACCGGCUAACUUCGUG